AUACGUAGGGUGCGAGCGUUAAUCGGAAUUACUGGGCGUAAAGGGCGCGUAGGCGGCCGGCCAAGUCAGGGGUGAAAGGCCUGGGCUCAACCCGGGAACGGCCUCUGAAACUGGCAGGCUCGAGGGCGAGAGAGGAUGGCGGAAUUCCCAGUGUAGAGGUGAAAUUCGUAGAUAUUGGGAAGAACACCGGUGGCGAAGGCGGCCAUCUGGCUCGCAACUGACGCUGAGGCGCGAAAGCGUGGGGAGCAAACAGGAUUAGAUACCCCGGUAGUCC
rnacentral:rRNA from 1 species